AAAAAAUGGUAAACCUGACCCCGAUG
rnacentral:sRNA from 1 species